rnacentral:rRNA from 1 species
AUUGAACGCUGGAGGCAGCCUAACAAAUGCAAGUCGAGCGGAUGAGGGGAGCUUGCUCCGUGAUUAGCCGGCGGACGGGUGAGUAAUGCCUAGGAAUCUGCCUGGUAGUGGGGGAUAACGUUCGGAAACGGGCGCUAAUACCGCAUACGUCCUGAGGGAGAAAGUGGGGGAUCUUCGGACCUCACGCUAUCAGAUGAGCCUAGGUCGGAUUAGCUAGUUGGUGGGGUAAAGGCCUACCAAGGCGACGAUCCGUAACUGGUCUGAGAGGAUGAUCAGUCACACUGGAACUGAGACACGGUCCAGACUCCUACGGGAGGCAGCAGUGGGGAAUAUUGGACAAUGGGCGAAAGCCUGAUCCAGCCAUGCCGCGUGUGUGAAGAAGGUCUUCGGAUUGUAAAGCACUUUAAGUUGGGAGGAAGGGCAGUAAGUUAAUACCUUGCUGUUUUGACGUUACCAACAGAAUAAGCACCGGCUAACUUCGUGCCAGCAGCCGCGGUAAUACGAAGGGUGCAAGCGUUAAUCGGAAUUACUGGGCGUAAAGCGCGCGUAGGUGGUUCAGCAAGUUGGAUGUGAAAGCCCCGGGCUCAACCUGGGAACUGCAUCCAAAACUACUGAGCUAGAGUACGGUAGAGGGUGGUGGAAUUUCCUGUGUAGCGGUGAAAUGCGUAGAUAUAGGAAGGAACACCAGUGGCGAAGGCGACCACCUGGACUGAUACUGACCCUGAGGUGCGAAAGCGUGGGGAGCAACCCGGAUUAGAUACCCUGGUAGUCCAAGCCGUAAACGAUGUCGACUAGCCGUUGGGAUCCUUGAGAUCUUAGUGGCGCAGCUAACGCGAUAAGUCGACCGCCUGGGGAGUACGGCCGCAAGGUUAAAACUCAAAUGAAUUGACGGGGGCCCGCACAAGCGGUGGCGCAUGUGGUUUAAUUCGAAGCAACGCGAAGCACCUUACCUGGCCUUGACAUGCUGAGAACUUUCCAGAGAUGGAUUGGUGCCUUCGGGAACUCAGCCACAGGUGCUGCAUGGCUGUCGUCAGCUCGUGUCGUGAGAUGUUGGGUUAAGUCCCGUAACGAGCGCAACCCUUGUCCUUAGUUACCAGCACCUCAAGGUGGGCACUCUACGGAGACUGCCGGUGACAAACCGGAGGAAGGUGGGGAUGACGUCAAGUCAUCAUGGCCCUUACGGCCAG